AGUUUAUCCCAUUCGUGUCCUCUCCAAACUACAAACUCAAAAUCCCUAAUUUCUCAAAAUCCCCAAAUGUCUCACGCCCACUGUCGUAAGGAUUUGCAACCCCCUCCGUCUUUUUCUUCGUCCGGCGAGUAUUCGACGUCAGGCGAGUCUUCGACUUUCGACCACGGUUCGACUUCUGCCCAAAUUAGAGUUUUGCCCAGGAGAUAACAGCUCGAGUCUUUAUGCCUCUAUUUGAGUACCCAUCUCAGCGUUGUAGAACAAACCAAACGAAAGGCAACUUAAUUCUUUAACUUAGAGCAUCCAAAUUUCUGAAGUUUCAGGCUAAACUUCAAGAGUUAGCUGAGCAUUUGGUUUACAGGCCAAACUUCAAGAGUUUGGAAUUUAAAUUUUUGUAGGAUCUUAAUUUUUGUCUCUUAUCAACAAAAUGUAAAAUUUUAAUUUGACAUCUACUCAUUAACUUGUGCAGAGACUGCAUUAUGUAAGUUUAGGAUGAUUUUCAUCAGCUCUUCACUCAUGGAGCUAAAAAUUGAAAUUCCAAACUAAUUGGUCAUUGCAGAUUAGAGGAGACUUGCAUAUUUGUUUGAUGGGUGAUUCUGGAGUUGUCAAGAGUCUUUUUAAGCACAUCAUCAAUGUUGCUCCCAGGGGAAUCUAAUCUACACAACUAGUAAAGGGAGUUGUUGGAAAGAUAUUGAUUGUUGUCUAGCCGACAAGGUGUGGAAUUUUGGCGUCUUUAGCACAUUUUGGGAUCAAAACAAGAAACAUCACCCGUUAGAUUUCAAUACACUGAAAGGUCAUGAAGAUUCUGCCACUGGAUUAUGCUUCUCCUCAGAUGGAAGUAAUCUGACGACUGCUUGAGGGACAGCUGAGAAGAAUAACAUAAGAAACUUCGGUAACCCAGUUCAGCCAACGUUGCCUACAUCUGGGGAGCUGCGCAGCCCAGCUAAGUAAUUUUUAUUAAUAUUCAAUUAAGUCAAGAUACAUCAAUACAUCAGAUAAACUUUGUUCAAUUAUAUGCUUUAGUAGCAUGGGUCCCGGCUUCAAAAUUCAGGCUCCCCCUGAACGCAUGAAUCACUUUUCUUCAUGAUGUGUGACUUCAGGCUCCCCCUGAAUGCAUGAGUGAAUAUCUUCGACGGUAUCCUUACAUUUUACUAAAUAUCGCAGUAACCAUACAUACCACUGUCUCGUCUUUUACAUUGCUAAUUUACAAACUCAACUUAGAUCAACAUGUUGAUCUUAUAGUCAUAAGAUCACAAUACCUGAGGAUACUUAUGCUGAGGAUACUCAGAAUCGACAAAACCCUUGGAUUGAGCAACAUAGACUUCUUCAUUUAGAAUAUGAAACUUCACCCCGAUAUGAGUCCAACGCCACUGAAAUCACUUAAAUCGGAGUUAUAACAAAGAAGAACGAUCAAUAACAAGUUCAAGGGCAAAAUCAAGAAAUUGGAAAAGAUCGGACGAACCAGAUCGCACCACGUGACAUCACCAGAUCACACCACGUGUCCACCUCAAAGUCGUGUUUUCGAACCCCAGGCGUGCCCCUAUUUUUUCUUUCAUUUUUCGUACGAUCCGACAACCCGAUCCACGAACCGGUUCGCGACCCGCGCUUAGUCCGCCAUAUGUCGAGCCCUCGUCCGCGUGCGCCUCUCCCCUGUCGUGAGUUUGAAUCUCAGCAGCUGCGUUUCCUUUUUUUAUUUUUCUCUUCAAUUGGGCCAACCCAAGACCCGACCCAAGCCCAUUCGUGACCCAAUUCAUCAUCUUCCCCAAAAUUAACUGCAAAAUGGCAGUUUUUAACCUAGUUUCAUUUUUUUUCUCCCAUUUUCUCUUCUAUAAAAUCCCUCAUAUUUUUUUGAAGGAAAAAAGGGAAAAUUUGAAUGUAAAAAAAAUUCUCUUUCUCAUUCAAUUCUUGUAGUAAAAUUCUUGAAACUUUAUCAAUAAAAGAUUACUUUUGUCAAAGAAA